rnacentral:lncRNA from 1 species
GGGCUGCCCUCCCUUGGUUUCCAUGGCAACCAAGGCCUGCGCAAAGACCCUCCCCUCCCUCGAGGGUGGGUUUGUUGGGGGGUUUUUUGGAGGGAAAUGGCCCCCUGAGGCGAGCCUCCACCUCCACCUUCUCCACAGCCCGCUGGCCUUUGGGCCUGAACCUCCCAUGGAUUGAUAAGGUCUUGUGGAUAUUUUCACAUAAAUUGCAGGAAGUGACUUAUGGAUCAAGGCCCUCCAACCAGCAGAAGACCAAGCAGCCUGGACAGACAUCACCCCACAGUUUGGCUUCCUGGAUUUCUCCAGAGCAAUUACGUGACACAGCCAGAGACACAUGUGUGUGCCGAGGGAGUGUGACCUGUGACCACAGACCAACAAGCAUUCCUUCUCCCCAGGGCUCUGAAGACCGUUUGGGAGGCAAUGUCAGAAGAAUGGUGGAGAGCUGAUCCAUCGGCCCUGCUCUGAGGAACGAGAUCGACCAGUUGAACUGCUGUCAGAACGAAGCUGUGCACCUUGACUACAUGGCUCAGAAGACUAUCUAGCCAUCCUCCUUAAAGGCAGAGCCUUCCCCAUCCGUUGGACGACAGCUCCAGCCAACUCCAGCCCGCUUGGCCCUUCUGCGAUGAGUGGAAACGAGUGGAGGAAAACAGUUGACCCAGGUGGCUUUUUGUGUGUGUGCAAAGCGACUGUUACUUAAUAGUCUUUCUAAGGCCUGUGCCUCCCACGUAUAUGGGCUCACUUUGCCACUGCGAUUUACAUUGUUUCCCUUAUGACAACAUGCAUAAACAUUAGGAUUCUGGGCUGUCUAACUCAAAGGAGUCCACACUCAUGAGUUGGUUUUAAGAUGGGCCAGAGUGCAGCCAGUGUGAAAAUCACUUCUUGUGGGGGGGGGGGGGCCCUCUAGCCACCGGGCUGUUGCUUUUGCUUUGCAUCAGAUCAUCACAGCGGGGAUCAUUCAUU